AGAGGGCAGCUACCCAGCAAUGGGAUGCGAAUCUCGAAAGCCUGUCUCAGUUCGGAUUGGAGGCUGAAACCCGCCUCCAUGAAGUUGGAUUCGCUAGUAAUCGCGCAUCAGCCAUGGCGCGGUGAAUACGUUCCCGGGCCUUGUACACACCGCCCGUCAAGCCAUGGGAGCCGGGGGUGCCUGAAGUUCGUGACCGCAAGGAGCGACCUAGGGCAAAACUGGUGACUGGGGCUAAGUCGUAACAAGGUAUC
rnacentral:rRNA from 1 species